rnacentral:tRNA from 1 species
GUCCCCGUAGCUCAGCUGGAUAGAGCACCAGAUUCCUAAUCUGGGGGUCGUGGGUUCAAAUCCCGCCGGGGACGCCA